ACCAUCCCUCACUGUCCUCUCUUUGCCUCAGCUCCCUGCUCUCAGCUUCUGCUAGUUGCCACAGCUUCCCUGGGGAUCCUCUCUGGUCCAGCCCCAGCCCGAGACUGCGCACUGCGCAGAGCCCCUCCCCCCACAGACAACCAAAGCAAAGCUGCGGAGCCUCAGCUCCUGGCGUCCCUCCCGGCUGCUUGCUGGGCAUCCUAAACCUUGGGCGGUGAAGGGCGGAGCUGGAGCCUGCGCUGUAGGGUCCAGUGGUACCCAGGAGAAUGAAGCAGGCCCUCGUGGAUGAUACCGAGGAUGUGUCCCUGGACUUCGGCAAUGAAGAGGAGCUGGCGUUUAGGAAGGCCAAGAUCAGCUGCUGCUGCGGACUUUGCUCCAUCUCACGUAUCUGCACUCUACCUGUGUGCUGUUUGGAACUGGGACACCACAGCAAGAAUCUGAAAGCCACAUCCUCUCAGUGUCACCCACUGCCAUCAGUAUGUCCUCGGUGGCCAUUGCUGUCUGCUCCAGACGGGCACCCCCUGGCCACCUUCUUCCACCUGUUCUUCCGCGUGAGCGCCAUCGUCACCUAUGUGUGCUGUGACUGGUUCAGCAGGAGCUUCGUGGGCUGCUUCGUCACGGUGCUCCUCCUUCUGGCCUUUGACUUCUGGUCUGUGAAGCUCACAGAGAUCUGCCUGAGGACUGGGGUUCAAGGUGUGCACUGCCCACGACACCUGGCCAGAAUUCCACUUUUUAAAAUGAAUGUAACUGGAAGACUCAUGGUGGGUCUUCGAUGGUGGAACCAGAUAGACGAAGACGGAAAAAGCCACUGGAUAUUUGAAGCCAGAAAGGUCUCUCCAAGCCACAUGGCCGCCACUGAGGCAGAGGCGCGCAUCUUCUGGCUUGGCCUCAUCAUCUGCCCAGUGAUCUGGAUCGUGUUCUUCUUCAGCACCUUGUUCUCCUUGAAGCUGAAGUGGCUGGCUCUUGUGAUCGCUGGGAUUUCCCUCCAAGCUGCCAACCUCUAUGGCUACAUCCUCUGUAAGAUGGGGGGCGAGGGUGACAUCGGUACAGUUGCGGCCAGCUUUCUGUCCCAGACGGUGUUCCAGAUGGCAUCCCCAAGUGACGUUCAGAAGCCCAGGAUUGAAGGACUGGACAUCCACCAGCAUUAGGUCAAGCACUAGUAUGCAGGACCUGGGCUCCGUCCGUCCGUCCCCAGUACCAAAGCAAUAGCACCAAAUACCACUGAACCCAUGCGUGCAGUUUCCCUGACAGGCUAGUCUGGAUGUAGGCAGAUCCAGGAAUUUGAGACAGAGGAGCAGAGUGACCAACCAUUUUUCUUCGGUCCCCUCCAGAUGACGGCAUCAUCAGGGCUGCUGAGCAGGAAACCCACAGACAUCACCCCCAGCCUUAGGUGGCCACGGUGAGAUCUACAAGAGGCCAAGUCUGGCCUGUGCCUCAACAACAGGUUAACGAAGCUAAAACAAACACCAUCUCCUCAGGUGUCCUAACUGGAUGAGCAGAGACCUCACAAUCCGGUCUUGGAGGUGAGGUUUGACUGGGACACACUGUGGUCAGUUUCACACCACCACUUGGUAGCCAUGGAACCAGAAAGCACAGGUCCAUCAGCCCCACAGACAAGGCCCGCCAGUCCUUGAUCUUACCUGCAUGCUUGGAAAACAGCCUCAGUAAACGGUCAAGUUGAGCAAUAUUUUUGCCAACCCCACCUCCGAUAGCCCAUCAGAUAGACUUAACUCACCCUGCCCCCCAGAAAGGCUAACUCACCACUGGAGACCAGCCGGAGCCACUCUGGUGAACCUGUGGGGACAUGAUAGUCAUUCUUAUCACUGUGCACUCUGGUCACAUCAUCACUGACAAAGUGUCCAAAGAAGAUGGCUUCACACAGUGCGACUCACCGUCCUGUACUGCAUCACUCAAUAAAAAAGGUUUUUAAAUUACA